rnacentral:rRNA from 1 species
CAGCUUGUUGGCGGGGUAACGGCCCACCAAGGCGUCGACGGGUAGCUGGUCUGAGAGGACGAUCAGCCACACUGGGACUGAGACACGGCCCAGACUCCUACGGGAGGCAGCAGUGGGGAAUAUUGCGCAAUGGGCGAAAGCCUGACGCAGCAACGCCGCGUGCGGGAUGAAGGCCUUCGGGUUGUAAACCGCUUUCAGUGGGGACGAAAUUGACGGUACCCACAGAAGAAGCCCCGGCCAACUACGUGCCAGCAGCCGCGGUAACACGUAGGGGGCGAGCGUUGUCCGGAUUUAUUGGGCGUAAAGAGCUCGUAGGCGGCUAAGUAAGUCGGGUGUGAAAACUCCAGGCUCAACCUGGAGACGCCACCCGAUACUGCUUUGGCUAGAGUCCGGUAGGGGAGCAUGGAAUUCCUGGUGUAGCGGUGAAAUGCGCAGAUAUCAGGAGGAAC